GUGGUGGCGUCCUCCUCCAACGUUGGUCCGUGUUUGUCUCUAUGGCGCUCUCGAAUGCCUAAGCCAAGGCCGACCGCCUCGAGCUGGUGCUCGACGAAACGCCCCGCAGGACCGAGUUCUCGUAGACCAUGCUCGUCGAUUCGCUGGCGAGGGCCGGCCGACAGCACGACGCAUUCUGCCUCUCUGCGGAGAUGCGGGCCUCCAGCGUGGCCUGCGACUCCCACGUCUGCGUAUGUCACUAUGGGAAGAGCUACAUCUUCAUCGUAAAUUAUGUGCAAAGCAACAUAUAAAGGUGAUCAUCACUUCCGACGAUUAAAGUACCAGUGUGCAGAGGAGGCAUGUAGGUGAUGCUUUUCAAAAUAACAAGUACUUAAUGAGAAAUGGAAAGGUCCAACCGAUACAAUUGAAUAGUUACCCAAAAGGUGCUGCCGACACCACCAUCUUGCUCUUUAUCUUCAGUAUCUGCAACUUUUUUGGCUGACUGGGGGAGGUGUUCUUAUUCCUGAGUCCCUUAGCUGAGGGUGAAAGGGCUAUAAAGCCAAGAAGAGGAAGAAGGGGUGAAGAAUUCAGGUUUUCGGAAGCAAUACUGAAGACUAUUUUUUGGUUUCUCUUUGCAAUAUGCUCUAUUGGGAUUGGAUUUUCAAUCACUGUUAUUAAUAAUCUAACACAAAUAUGAGUUGUUGCAUGUCAUGUCGACACAAC